CCUACGGGUCACAGCAGUGAGGAAUAUUGGUCAAUGGACGAGAGUCUGAACCAGCCAAGUAGCGUGAAGGAUGACUGCCCUAUGGGUUGUAAACUUCUUUUAUAUGGGAAUAAAAUGUUCCACGUGUGGGAUUUUGUAUGUACCAUAUGAAUAAGGAUCGGCUAACUCCGUGCCAGCAGCCGCGGUAAUACGGAGGAUCCGAGCGUUAUCCGGAUUUAUUGGGUUUAAAGGGAGCGUAGGUGGAUUGUUAAGUCAGUUGUGAAAGUUUGCGGCUCAACCGUAAAAUUGCAGUUGAAACUGGCAGUCUUGAGUACAGUAGAGGUGGGCGGAAUGCGUGGUGUAGCGGUGAAAUGCUUAGAUAUCACGAAGAACUCCGAUUGCGAAGGCAGUUCACUGGACUGCAACUGACACUGAGGCUCGAAAGUGUGGGUAUCAAACAGGAUUAGAUACCCCUGUAGUC
rnacentral:rRNA from 1 species